CUGGAGGCGAUGGGUAGAAAUGAUUUGGUCCAGCAACCUCAUUGUACAGCUGGGGAGCUGGAGGCCCAGAAAAGGGAGGUGACCUGCCCAUAUUGCCCAGUGACUAGUCUGUGGCAAAGCCAUCUCAGCCCUCUCAGUCAUCUGCAGGGCUAGCCCAUGGAGGAAGCCUAGGUAAGAAGCAGGGCCUAGAGGGGAGAAGCAGGGACAAGGUACUGUGGAGCAGCAAAGACCUGGUUAUUGCCCAGCUGUGGGGGUCACAGCCCCUGGCAGGUGGGGGCUGUGUCUUUGUUAUUUGAUUCUCCCUUCUCCCAGGUCAGAGCUCUGUGUCUGGCAGGGUUUGAAAGAUGUUGGCUGGACACAGCACAGUGCCUGGCACUCAGUAGGGGCUCCAGAAAUAUUUGGUAUUAAACAGCUGUUUAGUUGAACGGUGAAGUAGGGUGACUAAAGCAAGAAAUUUGGAGGCAGCUAGAACUGGUUGAAAUCACUUAGUAGCUGUGUGACAUUGAUAAAGUUACUUAACCUCUCUGAGCCUAAGUUUCCUCAUUUAUUAAAUGAGACUCUAGUAGAGUUGUUGUGGGGAUUAAAUGAGAUAAGAUACUGAUGCUUAAUACAGUGUAUAGUACGUAACAAAAUCUUAAUAAAGUUGCUAGCUGUGUCACCACAGGUAAGUUACAUGAGCUCUCUAAACCUGUUUCCUUCUCUGUUGUCAUAAGAAUUCAAUGAAAGGUUGUAUAGCUAGCCUAGUCCUUGGUGCAUCACGGGCACUUAGUAAAUGUUAGCCUGUCUCCCGCCUAGGUUCAUUACCCCUCCACCUCUUCAACGUCUCUUUCCUCUGCCCCCCAGCCUCUGUGAUCGCUGCCAUCCCUUCCAUGGCAUCUCAUCUCUCAUACCUUCUGUCUCCCAGCCUCUGACACUCCCAGCAACAAAAGCUCACAAGGUCUUUCGGUCCAUGGUUUCCUCAGGGUUCGGCUCUGAUGAGCAUGGGUGGGAGGGGGGCAACUGAGAAGGAGGCUGAGGACAGGACAGGUGUAGUCCUUGGACGAAAAUCCCAGUUCUGCUUUUGACAAAGGAUUUAAGGAUUCCGGCGUGUCUAGCCCUGUGUCUUGCCCUGGAGAACAAAGGCAGAGGGAUGUCUUCCUGAACAGCCCAGGCACAAAGCUGCCACCAUUCUUCCCAUUCCCUUCCUCCUGAUUUCCAAGUCCAGAGGUUGUCAAUAGCACUCUCAGCAGCUGAGCUUCCCUGAAAUCGGGGUGUGUGGAGGAGGGCAGGUGGCAGGUAAGAGAUACUAGUGCAAGCAAGAGGGCGUGUCCAGAGAGUCAGUUGUAGGAGAAGUCUCUGGAGCUUCGGGGCAGGAGGCAGAGCUGGCUCCCACAUAGGUGACCCCCUAGCACCGGCUUCACCAUAGGCCUGGGCCAGGCCACAGAAAACACCCUCUGGGCCUGGGAAGCAGAUUGAGCCAUUCAGUCUUUACACGUGGUCAGGUUUCUGCUUCAGUCACUUGAGUGCAGUUUCAUAAACCAAAUGAGAUCAAUGAGCUUGUCCUUUCCAGGCCUCUUUUUAAACAUUGGGAAAUGGUUUGGGGGCAUCUCAUCUGCUGCAUCUGCUGUGCUUCCCAAUGUCAGAUAUUAUUUACUUGGAGCAAAUAUAAACUAUUCUGUCCUAAAUAAACUCUGACACAGGAACAAGAGGACUUCAGGGCAAGAACCAUCUCCUUACCUUCCCUCUUGCUAGUGGGCACGGAUAUGUGACCUGGAGACCUAUUGCAUCAUGCAGGAACUGAGCCAGUCCAGAGCUGGCCAAGCCUGUGCGGAGAUGUUUAUUUACCCAGAGAUGAGAACCUGGAGGCCACACUAUGUGGUGGUUACUGUACCACGUAGGACAGCCCAGCUAGCGAAGUCCCUGGGGUUAGUGAACAACACACAAAAAUAAGGUUAUAUCCAUCCUCAAAGUGAAUAUGGGCAGGAGAGAAUCUGACAGCGGCAGAGGAGUCUGAAUUGGGUCAUGCACAGACACAAAGAGAGGAGCCCGUGGGGAAUACACAUCCUGGCGUUUCUGAUUUCGCACGAGAUCAGCUGAGAUUCGCUUAGUCUGGAGCAGCUCUCCACAGAAAAGGGCCUGGGGAGCUUUUUCUGCACACAGACUCCUGUCUGUGUCUCUGCCUGGGCCCAAGAGAAGUGAAGGAACAGAGGGGGUGGCUGCUGGAGGAGUUGGGACUUCUCAGACAGCUGCUCCCGUGGGUUGGAGUGCUAGGAGGGCUUGCUUUUCUGAAGCCUGAUAGGGUUGCUCUUUUGAGUUGAGGGAGAGGCCCCCCCCCAACCUUUUUUAUUCUCCUUGGAGUUUCUCUAGGGUCUCAGACCAGAGACACAUGACCGAUUCUAACCAUCUUCUCUGCAAAGAAGGCCAUGGGCCCACCUGUCUCUAAGACUAAUAGAGCCCCCUUCUCCUCACCUGAGAUUGGGAGACCUGGGGAGGCUCUAUGUGUGUGUGUGUGUGUGUGUGUGUGUGUGUGUGUGUGUGUGUGCACAUGCAUGUGUGUGCAUGCAGGAUGGGACAUCUAACUACCCACUGAAGAUUUGCUUCAAGUCCCGCCCCCAGUGUAUAUUCCCUAAAACCCAUUCCUGCCCCAUCUUCCCCCUGCCUUUCCCCCAUCUCCUUUGCCUUAAUUCCCCCCACAAUCCCUUUAGGUCUGUUUCUUUUCCUCCAACUGUUCACCCUCAACAAAGACAUGUAACUGAGAACCAUUCCCAGAGAAGACGGCCCAUCUUCCUUUCUUAAAAAGAUCAGUUGCCUGAUUUCCUUUGGGACCGCUGCCAUAUUUCUUUUAUAUUUCAUUCAUUCUCCAGACUCAGUGAUAAGGACAGGAACUAUUUAAAGGGGAGAAGGGAGGUUCUCCUUAAGGACCUAAUCAAAGGACAAGAUGAACGGUGCCUGCCGGAGAGAACGAGACAGCGUGGGAUGAGGGCGGGUGCCACGGUGGAUGUGCAGGGAUGUUCCCGUGAGCCCAGCAGGGUCUGGUGGGAAGAGCUCUGGUUAGGAGCCCAGGGAACUAGGUUAAAGUUCCAGCAUUGCAAAGACCUCCCAAGAGACCUCAGGCUAGUUGCUUCCCUCUCAGAGCACGAGUUGACUCACCAUGCAAUGGAUGGAAAGGCCAGAUUCACUCAUCUCUAAAUUGCCUUCCAGCUUGAAUUAUAAAUUCUGUGGGGAUGGAAAUGGGCUAAGGAAUUGAAUUUGGUUUCCUUGUGGUUAGCAACUUUUUUUUUUAAGUUACCGUUUCUUAAACAUCUCCUAAAGAUUACCAACAACACAUAUGUAAGUUUUUCUAAGCAUUUUACAUAUAUGGAUUCGUUGCCUUCCACAACAAUCCUAGGACAUAGGUACCAUUAGUAUCCCCAUUAUACAGAUUAAGAAACUGAGGUACAGGGAGGCUAAGUAACCAGCCCAGGCAGUGGAGCCGGGGUUCAAACCAGGCAGUCUGGCUGCAAAGUCCCUCUUCCUCACCACCACACUCAACAUUCCAGGCACUGUGCUAACUGUUUACACAAAUCCUCUCCAUUUUGCAGUUGAGAAACCCAAGACUCAGACCAGUUGGGCAACAGCUGAAGGUCACAUAGCUGGGAAGCAGUAGAGAUGAGAUUCAAAGUCGGCAGAGCUCCAGAGUCUCUGCUCUCCCCCACACCCUCCUGCAACCCUGCCAGACGCUCAGGCUUCCAAAGCAAGUUUAACCAAUAUCCCUGCAUUGCCACGCCUCUUCAGGCAAGUCAGCUUCUCCCCGCUGGGCCUCAGUUUCACCAUCUAGAAAAUGACUGGGGGAUUGGCCCAGCUGAUCUUUGAGGUCCCUUGGAGCUCUGUGAGUCUGUGAUGAGAAAGGUGUGGUGCUUCUAGCUGAAAGGGAAGACCUGUGGCCUGGGAAUACCUUGGGCUUGGCUUGGGGUUGCAGCCAGCAAGGAUGAGGGAGAUGAGGGCCUGGGGAUGAAAUGAAAAGGAAAUUUCAGGUGACUGGAGAAGGCUUAUUGGCUGUGAACCUGGGAAGAGGGUUCAGAUGUAUGAAGCAGCCCAGUGCAUCUCUCGGAGGAGGGUAAUGUCACGUGCUUGCGAGAUGAGCGAAUGGGUGUCAUUACCAGGCAGCUCCAUUUUCAACGAGGCUCUUUCCACUUGGGGAAAUGGAUGGAAUCACCUAUUGCGUUGGACUGACCUGCUCUCUGGCUUGCAGAAGUCACGGCUCUGGGUGGCACCAAGGCACGAAAUGACACGGACACCUGGCCUGUGUGGGGGCCUUUGUCUGUCCCUCUCUCCCUGCUCCUCCACAGUCAGUAUCCACACUAUGGUUUGAAUGUAUGUAUCUUUCCGACAUUCAUAUGGUUGGAACAUAAACCCCAAGGCAAUGGUAUGAGAAGUUGGGGGGGGCCUUUGGGAGUUGAUUAGGUCAUGAAGGCUCCACCCUUGUGAACGGGAUUAAUGCCCUUAUAGCAAUAAAAGAGCAGGAGGGAACUAGUUAGGCUCAUUGUGAUCUUCCACUCUUCUACCACAUGAGGACACAGUGUUUGUCCCCUCCAGAGGGCAUGGCAAGGCCCCAUCUCGGAAGCAGAGAGAGUCCACACCAGACACUGAAUCUGUUGGCGUCUUGAUCUUGGACUUCCAAUCCUCUAAAACUGUGAGAAAUACAUUUCUAUGGUUUGUAAAUUACUCCAUCGGUGGCAUUUUGUUGUACCAGCAGGAAGGGACUAUGACAUACACCACGGAGGCCACUGCUGCUACAGUGGCUAGCAGAGAGGAUCAUGGGUGGUUCCAGCUCUCAUGCCAGCAAAGGGUCUCAUCCCUGACCCCUAGUCCAGUAUGCUGUGGUCUCCAAGCCCACAGAAAGGCCCUCCCUCCAAACCCCAGCUUUCAGAGUCUAAGGGGCUGACAAAAGGUUAAGGGCUCUAGUUCUGGUCUGAGCUGGGACAGGUGAGCAGGCUACUGUGCAAGAGCUGCUAAAUGCAGAGUCCCCAGGUAUCGAGGUUACCCGGAAAAGUUGGCCUUCCCAAAGCUGCAGUAGGAUCAGCAUGUCCGGUUCAGUGCUGACUGUGCAGGCUUGGGGCCUAUCCCUUGAACUCUGGAAGGGUAUUUGCAAGAUGGACCUCCUGUCCUCAUCUUCCUUCUACCUUUCAGCCUCUUGGUCCUGUGUCACCAGACGGGCUCAGAGCAUUCCUGAGCAACUUUGUGGUUCUGAGCGUCUCUAAGAAACGAGGCCUGGGAGAGGGCAGGGAGGAGGGGAGAGGGGACGGUCAGGUGGGGUGUGGGGGAUUGCAAAACAAAGACACGCUCAUUUGCCAUUUACCAAAGACUUUUUUUUUCUUUUUCUUUUAAAGCUGUUGUUUCCUCAAGGGAAAACUUUAUCUGUGUGUGGGUAAAAUGUUGCUCUCUUAACGAAUCGAAAGCAGAACAUGAGG
rnacentral:lncRNA from 1 species